CGAAACCAGGUACACAAGGACAAGCUCUAGCUAUGAGGAUCAACGGGGAUAAGGCUGCUUUCUACAACUGCAGAUUCUAUGGAUUCCAGGACACUCUUUGCGACGACAGAGGCAACCAUUUCUUUAAGAACUGUUACAUCGAAGGAACCUAUGAUUUUAUUUUCGGAAGAGGAGCUUCCUUGUACUUGGUACGUGUAUACUUUUACUUAUUUCGAUAUUUUGAACACAUUUUAUAUCGCAUGACUAAUUAUUACACCGUGUUUUGUUUUAUCUAUAGAAUACACAAUUGCAUGCUGUUGGAGAUGGAUUAAGAGUGAUCACAGCACACAAUCGUCAAAAUGACAAUGAGCAGAAUGGGUAUUCGUUCGUCCAUUGCAAGAUCACUGGAGAUGGAACCGGAAUCUACUUGGGCAGGGCUUGGAUGAGCCACCCUAAGGUCGUCUAUGCCUACACUGAAAUGACCAGUGUCGUCAACCCGUCCGGAUGGCAAGAAAACAGGACCCCCGCUCAUGACAAGUAAGUCUAUAUCAAUUUCACUCUAAAUCAUGUAAAUGUGCAUGCAGUGAUGAUCUUGUUUUGAACCUUGUAUUAACACUUGUUGACAUGAUGAAUGAUAUAGGACGGUGUUUUAUGGAGAAUACAUGUGCACGGGACCAGGAUCACACAAAGCUAAGAGAGUGGCACACACACAAGACAUUGACAACAAAGAAGCUAACCAUUUCCUUUCUCUCGGCUACAUCAAGGGCUCCUCAUGGCUUCUCCCUGCUCCGGCUUACUAAAUUAACCACACCCUUCAUAACUACAAUUCUAUAUUUUUCACUAAAAGAAAAAUAGAAUUGUAGGUUUUAUUUUCGGAAAAUCCUCUCCUUUUGUUAUAUAUGAUGGAAGAGUAGAGACUUGUCUAGUUUUGGUUUUAUUGUAAUCAAAAUGAUUAUUAUAUUAUAUUGAUAAGAGUUAAUUAAACACAUCUUUCGUCAAUUUAUUCAUCAAUUAAACUAAAUGAUCACCAAAAUCCGGUUGGUUGGACAUGAAUGGUAGCGUGAAUCAAAUUUAAUGAUGAUGUGAAUUUGUGAUUAAGGUGUGACAAUGCGAUUGAAAUUAUGAAUUUAUUAAUAUUUGGGGAAAUUUUUCUUUUAUUAAAAAGGGUGCAUGUGUUUUACUAAAAUUGCACAUCUAUGGAUUGUGUCUUAAACAAUACUAAAAAAACAAUAAAUAUUACAAAAAAUAUUAAUAAAUUUAAUGAUUAAAGGGUCAUUUUAUUGGAGAUAUCUUUCUCCUUAAUUAGUAUAUCUGCAAAGACAUUUAAGACACAAUGUCUAAGUUUUAAAACACCUGAAUAUUUUUUUAGAUACAUAUUAUAUUUUAAAUAUAUGAAGACACCUUCAUAGUAUGAGGGAUAUAUGGAGAUCGUCUUAUACUUCAGUUCAUAUACAAUUCCAAAUCAUGUUUUUCUCUCCAAUUUUUUAUUAUCAUUAAUUUCAAAUAUUGAUAAAUCUAUAAUAUUAGAGAAUUGCGUUCUGAUAAAAAUAAAUAUUGUAUGAAAAUAAAAAUUUAUGACUUUGGAGGAAAAUGAUGUAAAGUUUUUUUUCAUCUGGCAAUGGGUACCACCAUACACAUGCACGUAGAAAUAAAACAAAAAGGUUUAUAUAAAAAAGGUGUGAAAAUCAUUGACGCAGAGCAAACACCAAGAUUUAAGUUACCACUGAACUAAUAUACACAUGCACAAUCAAAAACUUUGAAAAAUGUCAUUCGACCUAAAGCAAAAAAAAAACACCAAAAUUCUAGUUACCACUGAACUAACUAUUCAUGUCUGAUGUCUCACAAAUUUACAUCCAAACAUAAAUUGUUGUUUAGGUCUUUAAUUUUGGUAAAUUUAUAAAUAGAUGAUGCAACAAUAGAGUUCUCUUUGGAGGAGUCAAAUAUUCAACAUGUUGACUUUUGCCAACUGUAAAGUAUCCUUUUCGUAGAUGGUGAUAGAUGAAUUUACAAAUUUAACUACAAGAAAAAUUACCAAAUUUGUAUUUACGACAAAACCAAAUAUUUAGAAAUGCUUCAAGAAAUAUAAACCGCAAACGAGAAUAGUACAAACAAGAUCUGUACGGUCAGACAUUUACCAAGCAAGACAAGUAUAAAAACCCCUUUAACGCUUCUUCAUUUCUUCCAUUCUCAAAGUAAAUAAGAUUGUAGUAAAACGUAGUUUUUUUUUCUACCAAUUCAUUAUUUUCUUUUAUUUUGUAAAAAAAAUAAAAGAAAAUAAUAAAAGAUGGGUUAUUACAUUUCAAUGUUUGUGGUUGCAUUUCUAGUAUUUUUUGCUUCGUCCGUGGUUCUAGCCACCGAUACAGAUCCUAUUCCAGAAAACAGAGCUCAAAUCUCGCAAUGGUUCCAGACCAAUGUUAAACCCUAUUCCCAGAGAAAGGGCACGCUAGACCCAGCUCUCGAUGCUGCUGAAGCAUCACGACGUGUCAUCACCGUACGUUACUAUAUAUUCCGACUUUUGUUUGGUUUCAGUUGAGUGUGUGUGUUAAUUCGAAUGAAAUUUUAAAAACUCAUUGCAUGCAGGUGAAUCAAAAAGGAGGGGGAAACUUUAAGACAUUAAACGAAGCGAUCAAGAGCAUUCCGACAGGAAACAAGAACCGUGUGAUCAUCAAAUUGGCUCCUGGUGUAUACAAUGAGAAAGUCACGAUCGACAUAGCUCGACCAUUCGUUACAUUGCUUGGUCAACCUGGUGCGGAAACGGUCUUGACUUACCACGGGACAGCCGCUAAGUACGGAACCGUAGAGAGUGCAACUCUUAUCAUCUGGUCUGAGUAUUUCCAGGCAGCUAACCUCAUCAUUAGAGUACGUGAAAUAUAUUUUCGUUCUACGCUAUUACAUUACGUCAAAGAUUGAUUCCUACUAACCUAAUGUAUGUUAUUCUAUAGAACACUGCUCCAAUGCCGAAACCAGGAACACAAGGACAAGCUCUAGCAAUGAGGAUCAACGGUGAUAAAGCAUCUUUCUACAACUGUAGAUUCUACGGUUUUCAAGAUACUCUCUGCGAUGACAGAGGCAACCAUUUCUUCAAAGACUGUUACAUCGAAGGAACCUAUGAUUUUAUCU
rnacentral:lncRNA from 1 species